rnacentral:lncRNA from 12 species
GCCAGGUGCCAGAGCUCUGUGUUUUCAGCCCAGGCUUUUCUCUGGGAGCAGGGUGUGAGCACUCCAAAAAGCACCAAGGAGGAACUGGAGCCUGGGCAGGACCAGGAGGUGCCCAGAGCAGCUCUGCAAGCAGUGAGUGCCUUCACUGCUCUGUCAUCAGCAGCCCCUGAGAGCAAUCACCACCCACCAACAGUUCCUUGAGAUAAGGCCCAGCCAGCUGGGAGAAGAAAGCCUUUGAUAUUCCCUGCCUUGCUGAGGCCUGGGCAGAGCGAGGUGGAACUCAGCUGUGGAAUCCCCCUGAUCCUUGCACGGGUAUCAAUCAGCAUCUGCAGCUCCUGGGAUCCACAGCACAACCCCUUCCUCCAGAGGGGAAAAGCACAGCCUGCAACUUCAAGCAGGAUCAUCACCUUUCCAAGGAAAUAACAAGCCCUGCCCGAGAGCAGCUGGUUAAGAUGGCUCAGAAGCAAUGACUGGAAUGAAAGGUGAAAAGUUUGGCCCAUCGUUCCAGCUUCUGGACAGGGCAGGGAAGAGAAACGUUUGACAAAACAUCAAACCCUGGAUUUUUUUAUUAUUUGUGUUUUUCUGUGCUCUCACUCUGAUCACCCCUUGAAUGAUUAGUUUUCAGAAAUAUAUGUAGGAGAGAAAUUAUGUGUAUUCAGGGAGAGCCAUCAUUUUAAUCUGUUUAACAUGCCCCAGGUAUGUUCUAAGCCCUGCAAACACACCGAGAGCUCCAGAGUUUGCAGCACAGUUUUCUGCAGCACUGAUUUAUUCCAUUUUGCAGUAACCAUGCCCCGG